CUCCCAUCUUGAAUUUAACGUGUGAGCGUCCAUGAUCAUAUAAUAUUAUUAUUAACAACAUCUAGUAAAACGUACAAUUUACUAUUAAUUAUGUAUCAACAGUUAAAUAAGUAUUUUAUAUGCUUUAUAAAAAUAAAGUAUACACAUAGUGAGUAUACCAACGUAUACUUCUAUGAAUUAGACUACUAAGAACUUAUCUGAAUAUAACAUUCGACAUCAAAAAAUAACGUUUACAACGUGUAAAUCGACUUAAAAAAAGAUUCACGAUAUAACAUUUCUAUUAUAUUCUACUUAUUUUAUCUGAACGUUUUAUACGUUUAUAUUUUUUAUAUUUCACUCGAAUAUUAUUAAUAUUAUCGCUAUUAUCAGUUUUUCUAGUAAUUAAAAUAUAUAAUAAUGUACGAUUACGAGCUAAAAUUAGAACUAUAAGACCUUUAUUUUUUUUUUUUGCUCUUUCCGGAUUAUAAGAGGAUGCUCGUUUGAUUGGCGAUUGGAUAUAAUCGGAGUUUUAUAACACUACUGGUAUAUAUUCAUGUAUUCAUAUUAAUUACUCAAGUAUUGAAAUACUGCGUCAUUAUAUGUAGAUGAAUUACAACACGAGAGGUAUCACAAGGUUAUUGGAAUGUACUCGAUAUUUAAAUUUUGGGUUAAUAUCUAGGAUAUUACUGGGUAUUACUAUAAAUACCCGACAUUUUGGAUAUUUGUUUUAAAUCAUUCAUUAGAUUCUGAACGAAGAUAGGAAUGUAUUUAUUUUGCUAUGUUGUGUUUAUAUAUAUUUUUCUGUAUGUCUAAAGAACUAUUUUUGAUUUAGUUGGCACAUGGAGGAGGCCAUUUUUUUAAAUUCAAAAGCUAAAAAACUGGAAAUUUGUAUUGACUUCUUGGUGGCUUUGACAACAAAGGAAAAAAUAAGAUUAAAAAUACUCUCCUCAGAAUCGUUUGUCGUUAGUAAUAGUUUAUCGUUGUAUACAUACGAGCUUAUAAAUUAAAUUACUCUACACAUCCUUUCUAAACAAUAGCACACCUGUCAGCAGUAUUAAUCUUUUUAAAUUUGUAUUAUGGAGUAUUCCAAUGGAUAUGAGGAUUUAUUCCGAGAAAAAAACAAAUGAUUGUUAAAAUUAUUUCACUAUUUUAAUAAAAAUAAGGCAUAAAAAUCUCAUAAGACAUAGCAGGAAGACUUCUCUAUCUACUUCUCUUCUCUGUCUACUUUAGUAGAUAACAACGCCGGUGUAUUAAUUGUAUUAAUUUAUUUUAAUUAAGUCUAUAAUACGUAUAAUGUACAAAGUAGGUACUAACACAUUAACUUUUAGUCAUUGUUAACCAUCAUUAAAAAUACCACUAAUAUCUGAAGCCCGGAUUUAAAUGUAUUUAAAACUUACAAAUAGUGUUUAGAAAUAGCAAAAAAAAGCUAUUAAAAAGUAUUAAAUUAAAUUUUCACUAAACAAAUGAUUUUUAAAAAUGAAAUUGUAUAAUAUAUACGAUUGUACACGUUAGUGUUAAAAUAUUUUAUCUAAUAAUUUAAAGCCAUUAUUGGAGAGGCAUCUAAACCAGUCUAUAAUAUUUGCUUUUUUAAAGAUAUUUAAGGUCAUUUUUGCUAUUUUUAUGCGCAUUUUUGUGGAUUUUAAAUGCAUUUAAAUCCGGGCCCUACUAAUAACUAAUACCUUUUGUAAUAAAAACCAUACGUUGACUAUAGAAUUAAUUAUGCUUAAAGAUAUCCUGUCAAAAUGACCCGACAAAUGUUGCGGUAAAAAAUGUCACAUGCGUAAAAAUGUCAUCAAU